rnacentral:tRNA from 1 species
UCUUCAGGUGCUUUAGGUGUAGGCGCCUCGUAAGCGCUAGGUCGCGGGUUCAAAUCCCGCCCGAGGCU